rnacentral:rRNA from 1 species
AGAGUUUGAUCCUGGCUCAGGAUGAACGCUGGCGGCAUGCCUAAUACAUGCAAGUCGAACGAGAGGAAGGAAAGCUUGCUUUUCUGAAUCUAGUGGCGAACGGGUGAGUAACACGUAGGUAACCUGCCCAUGUGCCCGGGAUAACUUCUGGAAACGGAUGCUAAAACCGGAUAGGUAGCAGACAAGCAUUUGACUGCUAUUAAAGUGGCUUUGGCCAUGAACAUGGAUGGACCUGCGGUGCAUUAGCUGGUUGGUGAGGUAACGGCCCACCAAGGCGACGAUGCAUAGCCGGCCUGAGAGGGCGGACGGCCACAUUGGGACUGAGACACGGCCCAAACUCCUACGGGAGGCAGCAGUAGGGAAUUUUCGUCAAUGGGGGGAACCCUGAACGAGCAAUGCCGCGUGAGUGAGGAAGGUCUUCGGAUCGUAAAGCUCUGUUGUAAGAGAAAAACGGCACUCAUAGGGAAUGAUGAGUGAGUGAUGGUAUCUUACCAGAAAGUCACGGCUAACUACGUGCCAGCAGCCGCGGUAAUACGUAGGUGGCGAGCGUUAUCCGGAAUGAUUGGGCGUAAAGGGUGCGUAGGUGGCAGAUCAAGUCUGGAGUAAAAGGUAUGGGCUCAACCCGUACUGGCUCUGGAAACUGAUCAGCUAGAGAACAGAAGAGGACGGCGGAACUCCAUGUGUAGCGGUAAAAUGCGUAGAUAUAUGGAAGAACACCGGUGGCGAAGGCGGCCGUCUGGUCUGGAUUCUGACACUGAAGCACGAAAGCGUGGGGAGCAAAUAGGAUUAGAUACCCUAGUAGUCCACGCCGUAAACGAUGAGAACUAGGUGUUGGGGGAAUAACUCAGUGCCGCAGUUAACGCAGUAAGUUCUCCGCCUGGGGAGUAUGCACGCAAGUGUGAAACUCAAAGGAAUUGACGGGGGCCCGCACAAGCGGUGGAGUA